UGCAGAAUCCCGUGAACCAUCGAGUCUUUGAACGCAAGUUGCGCCCUAAGCCAUUUGGCCGAGGGCACGUCUGCCUGGGCGUCAAUCAUCUAUUCGUCACCCAACCUUCGCUCCCCAAAAAGGAGCUCGGUUCUUGGGUACGGAAGUUGGCCUCCCGUGCUCCUGCAGUGCGGAUGGUCUAAAAUCGAGCAUCGGACUGAUGAUCUCCGAGGCACGCGGUGGUUGUUCAUUCUUACCUCGUGAUGUUGCCCCGGAGCGUCUCUCCAUACGGAGCUCAACGACCCUAAGAUUCACAACGAUGCGACCCCAGGUCAGGCGGGGCCACCCGCUGAAUUUAA
rnacentral:rRNA from 2 species